CAUUGUAUGCAGCUCGUCCUCCGGGAUGGUGGGGACACUGUUGGGACCGCCUCUGCUAAAGAGGAGGAAGGAAUGGGCAACGGUAGGUCAGCAUGCCCCGAAUUAUCCGGGCUACACGCGGGCUACAAUGGGUGGGACAAUGGGUAUCGACACCGAAAGGUGAAGGCAAUCUCCUAAACCCAUCCUUAGUUCGGAUUGUGGGCUGCAACUCGCCCACAUGAAGCUGGAAUCUGUAGUAAUCGUGUCUCAACAUGGCACGGUGAAUAUGUCCCUGUCCUUGCACAA
rnacentral:rRNA from 1 species